rnacentral:rRNA from 1 species
GGAGGGUGCAAGCGUUAUCCGGAUUCACUGGGUUUAAAGGGUGCGUAGGCGGGCAGGUAAGUCCGUGGUGAAAUCUCUGAGCUUAACUCAGAAACUGCCAUGGAUACUAUUUGUCUUGAAUAUUGUGGAGGUGAGCGGAAUAUGUCAUGUAGCGGUGAAAUGCUUAGAUAUGACAUAGAACACCAAUUGCGAAGGCAGCUCACUACACAGUUAUUGACGCUGAGGCACGAAAGCGUGGGGAUCAAACAGGAUUAGAUACCCUGGUAGUCCACGCCCUAAACGAUGAUUACUCGACAUCAGCGAUACACUGUUGGUGUCUGAGCGAAAGCAUUAAGUAAUCCACCUGGGAAGUACGAUCGCAAGAUUG